rnacentral:rRNA from 1 species
UACGAAGGGGGCUAGCGUUGUUCGGAAUUACUGGGCGUAAAGCGCACGCAGGCGGUCUCGACAGUCAGAAGUGAAAGCCCCGGGCUCAAUCUGGGAAUUGCUUUUGAUACUACGAGGCUUGAAUUAAGGAGAGGGUAACGGAAUUCCGAGUGUAGAGGUGAAAUUCGUAGAUAUUCGGAAGAACACCAGCGGCGAAGGCGGUUACCUGGCCUUAUACUGACGCUCAUGUGCGAAAGCGUGGGGAGCAAACAGG